AGACAAGCACCGGAGUUGGACUAUGCUCCUGCAGGCUCAAAAAGCAGGGACAACACAGUCCUAUAAUACAAGCCUGGGAGACGACCAUUCCGGACAGGGGCCAAGGUGCAAACACCGCAGGACUCUGGUGGACUUGAUAUCUUUGUGGUUGCUUAGGUACCCCCCUGCAUACAUAGAAUGCCAUAGCUAUCUGUUUAGUUUAAAACAGCGGAGCACACAUUACAUGUCCCAAUCUCGAAUCUCACGCUACUGCCCUACCAUAGGUCAACACGAGUGGGACACUAUAAGCAAUUAUAACACACCAGUGGUUCCAUCUUAUGGAGCUUUAUAAAUAAUGCAUAUAAACCUGG